CUCCCACAGUGACUACUCCUCCCACAGUGAGCUUUCCUCCCACAGUGAGCACUCCUCCCACAGUGAGCACUCCUCCCAUGGUAACUGCUCCUCCCAGGGUGACUGCUCCUCCCACAGUGAGCACUCCUCCCACAGUGAGUGCUCCUCACACAGUGAUCAACCCUUCCAUGGUGACUGCUCCUUCCAUGGUGACUGCUCCUCCCACGGUGACUACUCCUCCCACAGUGACUACUCCUCCCACAGUGAGCUUUCCUCCCACAGUGAGUGCUCCUCCCACAGUAAGCACUCCUCCCACGGUGAGCAUUCCUCCCAUGGUAACUGUUCCUCCCAGGGUGACUGCUCCUCCCACAGUGAUCAGUCCUCCCACAGUGAGUGCUCCUCCCACAGUGAUCACUCUGUGACCACACCCCCAUACAAUGCACAGACCUCCCCCUCUGGCUCACUCCCACUGGCCCACCCACAGGCCUUUUCUUUUCCCCAGAACUCCUUUUCCUUCAUAUUCCAAUCUUUCUCUUUUCAGAACAUUCCACUGAGAGCUUUGCCAUGAACGUCACAUGGCAAAUAUUCUCAUCUCAGGCCACUUUGCUUUCUCUACAACGUGGAUGACCAGAUAGCCUACUUAGGCACAGGUGUCUUAGAGGACUGCCCUUCACCACCCUUUCCAGGGCCCUCCCUGAGGGGUGCUGCCUACAGGCCACUUUCAUGUGCACCAAUGAAUCAAGUCAGCCUGGCCCCACAGACAAGCCCUGGAGGGACUGAUGGAGAAACAGAAGAACAAGGAUGGAGGGUGAUGUGACCAUUUGUGCAACUUCCUUGUUUUCUCUGGACCUGCUCGAGCAGCCCUGGCUAUCCCACUUCCCCUUGUGAGCAGUCCACCCAAUCUUGUAAGUAAAUGACAUCUUCCCCAGAUCCAUGGCUGCCUUCCAUGGGCUGAAGACUCUGCUGAUCUACGGAGAGACGCUCUGCCUGGCACAGUAGCUGCAGCUGGACCAGUGACCCUGCUCACUCUGUGCACCUUUACUGUUCCACUCACUUUACACCAGGUUUGCGUCUGGUGAGGUAAGGAGGCUGUGACAAGCACUGCAGCUCCUACAUCCUUUUGGUCUCUGAGAGUGACACUUACCUCUGGCUUCCUGCCACCAACACAAGACGUGGUGGAGCCUGCAGUGUACGCUGCUGUGAGGGAAGGGGCCUUGCUCACUGCAGAGUCUUGUAUUCUAGGCCACAGAAGUGAUGACAAGCACAUUAAUUCCUGUUGUCCUGCAGGACCAGGGAGGCGAGGGCCGGGAGCUGGCCUGGAGCCAGGAUUUCACUUAGUACCUGACCCUCUGGUUUCCAGUCUAAUAAGGGGGUCAUGGUAGCACCUUGGGUCCCCAAGUAUCAAUGUCAGUUUGAUAAACCUUGAAGAGCACAGGUAUUCCUAUUGCUCACCAUGCAUUUGCCUAAAAAAAUGUCCAACCUGUCAUGCUAACUGGGAAAGCAGUGGAAGCGCUGCUGGGAACACCUGCUCCAGUGUUACAGGUGCUUCCUGGGAAGAAUCUGCUUCUCCUUCAUCAGUGGGCUCUGGGUUGAGAGUUAGCUCAAGGCAAGAAACUCUGCCCACCAUGCCCCUCUGGUAAUGCAUACCUGAUCUCUUAUGGUUUUAUAAAUUAAGCAUCAUCCCUGCUGGCUGCUGUCUGGCCCCUUCCAGAGCGAUGUAUCCACAGGCCAUCUCCACAGCUCUCUGCAGGUCCUCUAGGUCACCCCGGGAGAGUGGUCCUGGCACAGGCACAACAGUACGUGUCUGCCCACCACUCAGCUAUCUGGUCCCUUCCUCUACCAUGCACCUCCAUGGGGGUUCCAGCCUUCUCGGGCUUUCAAGCUCCAUCCUAGGCAAGGUUUUGUCUCCAGGGACACUUGCUGAGGUUCUCAGCCCUGGACCAGGCACAGUGCUCCAUCUCCAUAAACUCACUUGUUCAGCAUUACAUCUGUGCCCUUGGAUUCAGCCACAGGUAUACACUUCUGGGCCUUCCUGGGACCUGUUAGCCGGAUCCUCUAGCUCCUUCCCUUCAGUUCCUCUCAGCCAGCCACUCCAGCUCAUCCCCCUCAGGCUGGGCUGGAUCUGCUUCUUGUUGCCCAUCUGGUUAGAGGGAGGAAGAAGCAUUGUCUCCUAAGGCACCUGGCUACUCAGGGUCCUACAGAUCUUCAAGAGCGGAAUCCACGAUCUUCUACCUGGGUAAGGGGGAGGCCACUUCUGCAAGCCCAGAAGAUUUGGGGGAUGCCAGAGUUCAGGUUCUCAAUUGUCCAGGGACCCCACCCCAAGCAUCAGGAUUGCACCUCUUGUCUAUUAGGGCCUUGACAUUGGAGGGCUGAGAACUUGCCCAGUCCUAUGAUGGAGGCUGUUCCUCCAGCUGACCUGCCUUCCAGGUAAAGACACAAGGGUUUUCUUAAAGGCUGCCAAAGAGGGGCUUUGGCUUUCACAGUUUGCCCAAAACCAGUGAUGAGUCAUCCUGAGCCCAGGCCUCACUCUCUUCCUCACUCGGCAGUGGGUGCUUCAGGCGCCCACGCCUUCUAGUUACCAUUUCCCCAGGGCCCUUCGAGCCCAUCCCGGCUCCACCAGGGCUGGGCUCUGUCGUCAGCUGGCCACAUGCCCCACCUCCAGUUUCCCAUGGACAGUCCACUUCUCACAACCACUUGCAGUGUCAACUGCCUUAGAGAUUUCCUGGGAACAGUCUGAGAAGGUGAACUGCGUGAAGAAAGUUUAACAGGGAGCAUUGCUCAGAGGCUCCCCUGCAGGGAGUACAAAGGCAGGUGGUUACAGAAGGUGACACAACUCACAGUGUAGUAACAACUGGAGACCCCCCAGCCCAUCCUCAGAGGUGCUCUAGUGCUGAAAUGGCCCUCGGGGUUGUCGAGGUGAGAGGGCCAAGCCUUGGUAUUUCUGCCUCAUCCAGUUACUGAGGGGACAUGACUGUCAUUCCCUACAGCAGAAGGUGGUGUCCAAUGUGGGACUCAGCCAUGACCACCAGCUGUUGUCCCUUCCAGCAAGUGCGGGCCUGGGGCAUCAGUGUUCCCUGCCCCCAGAGCAGGACUGCUGUUCUCUGGACCUCACCUAGAUAAGGUGCAGGGAAAGGACCCCUUUGAAUGGGAAAAACAGUAAAGGGAGCAAAGAAAUCACAGCAGAAGGGGACACCUCCGUGCCCCAUGUCACGGUGUGCCAAGAAUCACCCACUCUUCCCCGAAACUAUUAAGAUCUCUCUGCCUUCAACUCAGAAAACAUCUUAAGGGUUGUGUCACUGUCUUCCAGGUCCCUAAACUGUCAAUGCCUAGCACAGGAGCACCCAACAAGUGUGGAGUCAAUAAAUAAAUCAUUA